AGCGGGAAGUAGUUUACUACUUCGCCGGCGAGCGGCGGACGGGUGAGUAAUGUCUGGGAAACUGCCUGAUGGGGGGGGAUAACUACUGGAAACGGUAGCUAAUACCGCAUAACGUCUUCGGACCAAAGUGGGGGACCUUCGGGCCUCACGCCAUCGGAUGUGCCCAGAUGGGAUUAGCUAGUAGGUGGGGUAAUGGCUCACCUAGGCGACGAUCCCUAGCUGGUCUGAGAGGAUGACCAGCCACACUGGAACUGAGACACGGUCCAGACUCCUACGGGAGGCAGCAGUGGGGAAUAUUGCACAAUGGGCGCAAGCCUGAUGCAGCCAUGCCGCGUGUGUGAAGAAGGCCUUCGGGUUGUAAAGCACUUUCAGCGAGGAGGAAGGCCAAUAACUUAAUAGGUUGUUGGAUUGACGUUACUCGCAGAAGAAGCACCGGCUAACUCCGUGCCAGCAGCCGCGGUAAUACGGAGGGUGCAAGCGUUAAUCGGAAUUACUGGGCGUAAAGCGCACGCAGGCGGUUUGUUAAGUCAGAUGUGAAAUCCCCGCGCUUAACGUGGGAACUGCAUUUGAAACUGGCAAGCUAGAGUCUUGUAGAGGGGGGUAGAAUUCCAGGUGUAGCGGUGAAAUGCGUAGAGAUCUGGAGGAAUACCGGUGGCGAAGGCGGCCCCCUGGACAAAGACUGACGCUCAGGUGCGAAAGCGUGGGGAGCAAACA
rnacentral:rRNA from 1 species